AGCUUUGCACAGUGGCAGUAUCGUAGCCAAUGAGGUUUAUCUGAGACACGAUUAUUGCUAAUUGAAAAGGUGCCUUACAGCCGAACAAGUUGUGGUAUAUGAAUGUAAUGGAAUACUAUUGUUCUAUAAGAAAUAAU